GACGUAGGGCGCGAGCGUUGUCCGGAUUUAUUGGGCGUAAAGAGCUCGUAGGCGGUUUGGUAAGUCAGGUGUGAAAUCUCCACGCUCAACGUGGAGGGGCCACCUGAUACUGCCAUGACUGGAGUCCGGUAGAGGAGUGUGGAAUUCCCGGUGUAGCGGUGAAAAUGCGCAGAUAUCGGGAGGAACACCGGUGGCGAAGGCGGGGUCUCUGG
rnacentral:rRNA from 1 species